rnacentral:piRNA from 1 species
UGNGAUGUAGUGGAGCUGGUGUCAGAAG